rnacentral:rRNA from 1 species
CAAUAGCGUAUAUUAACGUUGUUGCAGUUAAAAAGCUCGUAGUUGGAUUUCUGGUUGGAGAGACCGGUCCGGGCCCAUCGUGGUCCGUGCACUUGUGUUUCAUCCGACCUUCUGCGUGGAGAAGGUGUUUCCGGGUUCAUUCUCGGGGCAGCGAGUUCACGCGUUAUACUGCGAAAAAAUCAAAGCGUUCAAAGCAGGCACUUUUGCUGUGAAUGUUUUAGCAUGGAAUAUUAAGAUAGGACUUUGGUACUAUUUUGUUGGUUGAGCCUAAAGUAAUGAUUAAUAGGGAUAGUUGGGGGCACCUGUAUUGCGUUGUCAGAGGUGAAAUUCUUGGAUUUACGCAAGACAAACAGCUGCGAAAGCGUCUGCCAAGGAUGUUUUCAUUA